UCAAAUGAAUGGUAUUAUCAUGCUGAACAAAUCUUGCAGAUGUUAUUGACAAUAAGUUAAUUUUAUUUUUUGAUACCAGACAUGUGAAAUCCGGACAUGAGCAGUACUUGACUGAACUCAACAAAAGGAUUUUCCAUGAUAGAAGUCAUCUUAAGGCUGUAGAUGUAAGACACCACAAAGUUGGGGAAGCUGAUGAACCUGCAAUUUACAGGAUCAAAGAUGCAUUGGAAUACUCUGUUGAAAUAUAUGUGUGCUCUGGAGCAAUCUGUGAACCAUAUGUGGCAGAUGAUGUUCAAUUGCAGUUUUACAUGAUGACCUUUGAAAACCUUGUCAACAGAUACAGAAGGUUUGUAUUUCACAUCUUUCAAGGUUCCAGAUGUGUAUGGGGUUUACCAGUUCAAGAUGGAGUACCAAAGACUUGGUUGUACAAGCUUAUCCCUAUUAAAGCAGGUAAUUAAUUUUCUUCUCGUACCUUCAUGGUUAGCAUUUUUUAUGACACCUUUGGUUUGGAACCCCUUUUAACCAUUAAUGUGAACUUUUUAAUUUUAAUUCCCUUAGCAAUUCAGAGGGAAACAAUAACUCUAAUGCUUUAUUGUAAGGCGCAAAAUCCACCUGCAUGGAUUUAACUACGCAAUCAAUGAACAUUUAUGGACAGUGCCAAAAGUUCAGGUGAUAAGUUACAAGUGCAUGCAUAUAAUGUUAUGGGAGAGUCCAUAAUAAUAACUGAUUUUUAAAGUUAGCAUUUUAAAUUACAGAUUCUUCAACAAGGAAUUUCCAAUUGAUUGGACUAAAGGCUUCUGCGGUGGUGUGUGAUGCCUUUUUCAUAAUCAUCUGGUCUUGUUCAUGUGAAACCUGCAUGCCUUCUUUGAUCUCUGCUGUGUUUUUUUACUUUCAUUGCAUAAUAGGUGGUUUCUUGGGAUCUUGUUAAGUUAUAACAAGGCAGGACGAACGAAGUAAAGUGUAACUUUGCUUACGCUUUUCUUCAUGCAUCUUUUUCAUAUGUUGCCUAGCUACCGGUUGAAGUUAUAGUUAAAAGGGGGAAAAUAAAUGGUGCACUAGCUUGAAAUCUUGCCAGCUUAAUCAAAUUCAUUACAAACCUCUUAAGUUCAACAAUACUGACAAUUUGUAUUUCAUUUAUAUUCAGUAUUAUAUUUUGUUGAGUAUGGAAUAAGUAGUGUCUUUUUCUGCUAUAGCUGCUAUUGUUGAUGCCGUGGGUUUUUGAAAAUUGAAUUGCAGAUUCCAGUCCGGCCCUUUAGACAUAAUGAAUAUGAGAAAUUUAUACCAGCAGCUUACCCCUACUAUGGAGCUGCAUUUUCUAUGUGUCUUAUGUCAGGGUUUUUCAACUAGCAAUAAUCUAUGCGUGUAAAUCACUGAUACCUGCUUCUAUCAACUGCACAAUUAUGCUAAAUCCUGUCACAAACCAGAAACAUUAGUUGUGUUUUCUGGGGUUGCUGCCCGAACUGGAGCUUCUUUUUCUUGUAUGAAAGGUUUUGAAACUCUCUUUCAGCUUUGUGGUUCCAUUUUACUGUCUUUUUUAUGCCUUUUUUAUAUAUGGU